GUGGCCACCGCGUUUCGCCGGCGGUUGCGGCGGCGCCGCUGGAGGACAACAACGUCCUCGGCGAGGUUCUCGUCCGCCUCCCCCCGGAGCUAUCAUCCCUCCCGCGCGCAUCGCUUGUCUGCAAGCCGUGAGGUCGCCUCGCCGCCUCCGCUGACUUCCGGCGCCGCUGGCGCGACCGCCACGGCCCACGGGAGACCCCCGGUCCUAGGCGUCUCCGAUAAGCGCCUGACUUCUCUCCAGUUCAUCCCUGCAGACCGCAGCAUCCCCGCGGAGCGCUUCUCUCUCCAGGUCUGCACCGCGUGGGACACCUGGUGCGUGCUCGGGUGCCGCCAGGGCCGCGUCCUCAUCAUGAACUGGACGCUGCGUGAGUUCCUCAUCUGCGACCCUAUCUCCGGUGAACGCCACCGCGUGUCAUUCCCACCGGAUCUAGUCGACGGCGGGCACAGCGCCAACGGAGCUCUGCUCUCGGACGACAAGCAGAGCCCACUGAGGCUGGUCCUAUUAUAUGAGGCCCGCGUCUACUCCUUUGAGACCGGCACAUGGGGAGACAUCAUCUCCACUGCUGAGCCAUGUCAUCUUACCGGUGUCCCCGUCACCGUGGUCGGCAACCGCCUCUACUGUUGGCUGGCAAAGCCGGGCAAACCUUGGUAUAGAUUUCUAGAGUUAAAUCUGGAAAGCCAGAGCCUAGCUCUGAUUACAAGCCCUCCCUAUGCGAAUAUCAGCAGCGGCAACAGCCAGAUCAUCCCAGGGGAGGAUGGCGCUGUUGGCCUCGCCCUAUUGUUGUACCCUACCAUCGAAAUGUGGAACCGCAACAUUGAUUCUCACGGUGUUGCGACAUGGGUGCUGCGCAAGACCGUUGUCAUGGACAACUUCGUUGAUCUGACAUCUUCGUGGGCGGCUUGGAACUCACUAGUUAUCGGGUAUGCCGAGGAUGCGAAUGCGAUUCUUAUAUCGGUGUUCAAAGAGAGGUACAUCCGUGUCUUUACAGUUCAACUUGAGUCAAUGAAAUGCAACAGGCUUCAUGGACACCUUCUCGACAAUUUGUAUUAUCCGUUCGCCGGUUUCUAUAACGCAGGU
rnacentral:rRNA from 1 species